rnacentral:piRNA from 1 species
GGACUUUCAAAUUGCAGGAACUCUAC